AAAGACGGCGAAGAGUAACUGAGUCAGCAGACGCAUUCAGAACAGAAUCUGAAAGGGCAGGAGAGGAAACAGUAUCCAAAUCUUUGACUGGCGAUUAAGAACUAGAAGAUGAACAACACUGGACACAGCAGAGCAAAGGAACUAAUAACCCACAGGUGUCCAGCGGCUGCCCGCAGCCCACACCGAAAGCCACAAACCAUGUGCUCCCCCAACUCUGAGCAGAAAGAACUGAAGAAGACAGGAGAGCUGCCCUUCUCCUGCAGGCUCGCGAACGCUUAACUGAAGGCAUUCUCUUCUAACUUGUCUCGGGAUCGGCGGGGGUGGUAGCUGGCCGACAGCAAUAAAACUCCGGCCAUGGAAGAGAUGUGAGCAGUUUUCUCUACCCCUGCUACCGCUUUUCAACCCCAUUUCAAAAACUGCACUGUGAAUACAGGAUGGUCUGUGCACAAAGAA